GACAAGCAUUGCGGCAAGGGAGGCAGGUUCACCUGGUGAAUUGAUUCCAGGGCACAUGGAUCAGACAAAUGGCCAAUGGGCAGCAGGUGAGGUUGCUGCUGUGCUCUCCUUCCAGUCGACUCUCCCUCCUCAGCAGAGACCAGACCUGGCCUUCGUCUCCCAGCCCUCUGGCGUGUUUUCUCAACACCUCAGUGGAACAAGAAAGGACUGAGCCUGCCAGAACUAAGGACACUGGGCUGCACUCUGAGAAGUUCCUGGAUCUCCCCUGGACCUGACCAUCAUGUGGCCAGAGAAAUUGGGCACACGGAUCAGGUGAAAAGCCAAUGGGCAGCAAGUGAAGUUGCUGCUGUGAUCUCCUUCCAGUCGACCGUGCCUCCUCAGCAGAGACCAGACCUGCCCCUCGUCUCCCAGCCCUGCGCCUGGUGUGUGUUUUGUCAACACUUCAGUGGAACAAGAAAGGACCAAGCCUGCAAGAACCAAGGUAGUGUGUUCAACAUUAUCACGACGGCUCUAAAAACAGUUACUGUCACACAGAACGAAAGGGAGAAGAGGAGGACUUCUCUGGGAAAGUUGUGAGGAGAGAAGACUGACUAUACACUUCUUUCUACCACCACAGAAGUUUACAGAAACUCACUCGUUUCACUUUAGGGGCCCAACCAGCAGUGACAUGGGUCCUAACCAAAGGUCGUGCAACCCCAGGUAUAGGGUCUGGGGAUUGUGUGGGUCUCACCCCUUCCACGUGGGUCAGGAUCCUGUACCUGGAAACACCAUAUAUGUUCUUUACCUGCAGUGUGUUUUGUACCCUUGGAGAUUCCCAACGUCUGAAUUGAGGGUGUUGAUCUGAUUAACCUGUGGUCCUUUUUCUUCUCUUCACCUUGUCGCAUUCACAUGAGGUCAGGCACCUUUGAGUGGAUUGCUGCUCUGUGUUUUGCUGAGUGAAAAUCUUUGGUGUCAAAUUAAUAUCAUAGCAUAUCCCUUAUCUAAUCAUAGGGGUCACCACCGCCUGGUGUCCCCAACACUGAGCUCAGAUAAUUUAAUUUGUAAUUUAACUGUUAUUUUAUAUUGGAGCACAGUUGAUUUCUGUUGUUUUGUUUCUUUAGGUGUAUAUGAACUUGAUUCAGUUAUACCUGCUGCUGCUGCUGCCGCCGCCUCGCUUUAGUCAUGUCCGACUCUGUGCGACCCCAUAAACGGCAGCCCACCAGGCUUCCCGUCCCUGGGAUUCUCCAGGCAAGAACACUGGAGUGGGUUGCCAUUUCCUUCUCCAAUGCAUGAAAGUGAAAAGUGAAAGUUAAGUCGUUCAGACGUGUCCGACUCUAGCGACCCCAUGGACUGCAGCCUACCAGGCUCCUCCAUCCAUGGGAUUUUCCAGGCAAGAGUACUGGAGUGGGGUGCCAUUGCCUUCUCCGCAGUUAUACCUAGAUGUUUAUCUAUUCUUUUUCUGCUUUUUUACUCAUAUAGGUUAUUACAUUUUUUCCAGUACAGUUUCCUGUUCUAUUCAGAAGACUUAAUAUAUUAUCAACUUGAUAUAUAUUAGUGCAUAUAUUUCCAUCCCAAACUAUUAAUUUAUCCCUCUCUU
ensembl:lncRNA